AUUCACCUAUUUUUUUCUACUUGCAUUUUUAUGAGCUUGUUUUUACAUUUAAGUCUUUAUUGCUUUUGUACUUUAUUGCAUUGUGAGUUAAGAAUCUGAUUUUUCCCUCAAAUAGCUAGGCAGUUUUUCCAAUACCGUCAACUCAGUGUCCAUCUCCCCCUAGCUGAUUUACUGUGCCUCCACAUCAGAGACCUCUUUUGGUUGAUAAAGAUGCAGGGAUGCUCUUCACAGUACAGUUAUUAACAGCCAGAGCAAUAUAUGAGGAUCAACUAAUCGGAACCAGUCAUAAGCAUCAGAUUGGGCCAGCAAGCACAUCCCAGAUGGGGUGAGAGGAUCGGGACUCUGCUGGGAUCUGAC
rnacentral:lncRNA from 10 species